rnacentral:tRNA from 1 species
GGCCUCGAAGUGUAUCAGAUUGCACACGACCGUCCGAAGGUCGAGGACCGGGUGCGACUCCCGGCGGGGCUGCCA